rnacentral:lncRNA from 1 species
AAUGAUGAGCCCGAUUUAGACAAAAAUAUUACGUUACAUUCUUUAUAUACUAGUUCAUUAGCUACAAUUGUUAAACAGUUCAUGUAAAUGCAGUUAAACAUAAAGUUCAAAUGGAAUGGGCUAAGGCAAGUUUUGAAAUUGUAAUAAAAUCUCGCAUUUCUUCUGGUUAUUAAUUUGAAAACAAGAUGACGCUACUGCGCCUCUGUUUUUUUCUGUGAUUGAGUGUGAAUAGUGAAAACUGUGUUUGAAUGUUUGAUAAUUGUGCAUGCAAAGUUUGAACAAAUCAAGUGGUGUGCUAUCAACUUUAAGUGUUUUCAUCCUUCUAGGUAUUUUGGAAGUUAAGCAGAUCAAAAGGGUUAAUUCUUUGGUAUCGGGGAUGCUUGUGAUUAGGUUUUAUUCGUGAAACUUGGAUUGCAAAGGAUACUGACCGUUUAGUGAUGUCAUCAGUGAUGCAAAUCCUAUGUGUUGGAAUACCAUCAUCUGAUUCUGCUACUCUAUAUUCAUUCAUCAUGUUCUAACUGCCAGGCUCUUCUUCCUUCCCAUGAAAAAAGACCAUCAUAAGUCUGGCCUAUAAGUUUUACCUCAAUCAAGCAAUCAAAUUGAGAAAAAGAGAAAGGAACAGAAGGCCCCAACAGAAAACUAACGGGGACUUGGAGUAAUUCACCGUUGCUGGGUUUAUCACCCUGUCUUUGCCACGCCCGUCUCCAACUCGCCCGUCACCCGUUGAGAACUCGCCCAUCGGUCUGUCACCGCCUCGCCCGUCACCCUGCCAUUGCUUCGCCCGUCAUCCCGUCUUCACCUCGUGGUCAUGGUCGCUCCGUCAUCGUCGUCAUCUUCAUGGUAUCGUUGUGUUAUGUAAUGUGUAUAAUGUGUAUUGUUAAUUAACCCGUUGG